rnacentral:lncRNA from 1 species
UCCAUUCCAUAAAUCAAGCGCUUAGAUUAAAAAUUAACUACUGCCUUACGCCACAUCGUCUAGCGUACGAGUACAAUUUUUAGUCUCCGUACGCUACACCAACUAGCGUACUUCAAAAAUUGCCUUCAAUUCCCAUUAUUGCCCCAAGCCACCAGUGUUAGAGUUUAGUAGGGCUCUGAAUGUAUUCCUUAUACGGCGUACGCUACUCAACAAUCAUAUGCAAUCCAAUAUCACAAGGAAAGCAAACGAUUGCAAUCCAUAUCACAAGGAAUAUCACGAAAGCUUCUUCUGUCCAAUUCUUUCUUCUUUGUACUGCUACUCUCUCUCCUCAGUCGCCAGAAAAGAAUACACGGCACUCAUAUCCAUGCGCUUUGACUAUACCCCUAUAACAAAAAUUAGUCUCGGCUGAUCUGUUGAAGAAAUGGGUUUAAUUUCUAAAUCUCUCUUGUUUUAGUGUAAUUUUAGUCUGAUUAGGAAGUGAAGAAAGUUGAUGAGGUUUUGAAUUGUUUUUUUUGUUGGAUAUGGGAGUCGAUCAGAUCUCUGUCUAAAUUUAGGAAAUCGACAAAUCUUUAAACACAGAGAUUGAGAAAUAUAUAUUUUCAAGGUCUAUUAAUGGUACUGUAGUCCAGUUAUUAGCCAAAUGUGAGUUGGGUAGAUAGAGAGAGGUGGUGUGUACGUGUUUAUUAAAUAUAUUUGUACUACUACAUUUUGUAUUUGUCAACUUGAGGGAGAGAAGGUUUGGUGGUGGAGAAAUA